ensembl:lncRNA
AAGGAAUUUUGGAUGCCAUCUGUUCCAGCCAUUUAGUGAAUAAAAAAACUGAGGCCUAGAGAGGUAGAUUUUCUCAGGUCACAAUCUAGUUCAGAGCAGAACCUGGAAUAAAAGCCCUGGCUUUGAUUCAGGCUCUUGACUUUUUUUCAGGCUUCUUUUGUCUUUAUUAUCACAAGCAGAUGUCAGCUCUGAAGCUGCCUGGUGGUGGAAAUGGGGUGUGGAUGAGCGAUAGAAGCUUUGAGGAGCCCAGCUCGCCAUUUCUCUUUGCAUCUCACCAUCGCAGUCAAAACUUAUCCCAUCUGUGUCUUGGGAGAAGUUGGAAGGAUAUCGCAGCAUUCAAGCAGCCCAGAGGGAAAGGAAGCUCCCAAACUUCGGAUCUGAAAAGGCAGGAGCCAGGCUUGGGGGAAACACACUUACACACUGCACAUCAACAAACAAACAAAUGGCCGGCCAUCUGAGCCAGGCUGGUGCCUCUCUGGCCUUUGAACCAGAGAAAAGGAUCGUUUGCUUAGCUCAACCUGUGUUAAAGAGGGAAGAAGUCACACAGUGCAGGAUGUGCAACUUGAUGAGUUGAAAGGGAACAAGGAGGCACAAAUCUGUAGAAAACCGAAGAGUGUCCAUUCUCGAUUGCUUGGAGCCAAAGAGCCUCCCUGGUGGGCACUGGUGUCUGGUCUGCUUUUUAGCAUGUGAAUUUUCAUUUAAUGUUGUCAAUUUCAUUCUGGAUUGGGCUGGGAACGUGGUACCCAGUGCAUUAGGCAUUCCACUCUGUCUGCGAGCACGCAAAGGUAGGGUUGUACAUUCUUUAAGGACAUCAUCCAAGAGGGGAUAAAGUUCAAGAGGUCAUUCUGGAAGAACCCAAGGAAGUCUGGAAGCUUGUUUCAGAGCUUAUCUGUACUUAGCCCCAAAGUCUGAGGUUUCUUCAGCUUGCCCUCACUGCAUUCUGCCCUUACCACAUCCUUCUCUGCUUUCAUCCUCUCUUCCCCCUUCUGGGUUGUCUUACUAUGCUCCAUUUCUUCUUGAAUUCCUGCCCUCCUUUCCCUUUUGUGAUGCUGCUCUUUCCUGGUUUAUCUCCUACCUGGCUGGCCACCCGUCAGGCUCCUUUUACUCCAUCUUUCCCUAGGUCACCCCCAGUAACUGUGGGGCAGUCACAGCUUGGUUUCAUCCUAGACCCUCUUCUCUUUUCCCUCUAUUUCAUUUCACAAAUGGCCAAGAUUCAAUGAUUAUCUCUAAGCGGAUGAUUCUCAGCUCCAUUUAUCCAGUCCUGCCCUCUUUCCUGACCUCCAGUCUGUAUCAUCAUUUGCCUCUUGGAUAUCUCAAAUUGCAUAUUCCAUAGACACUUUAAACUUAAUAGAAUUCAUUAUAUUUCCCCUUAAACCUUGCCUUCCUUGUUUCUGUCAAAGGGACCAUUAUCAUCUCCAGUUACUCAAGCUUAUAACCUGUGUGUUAUCUUCAAAUCCUCACUUGAACUCACCUCACACAUCCAAUACGUUGCCAACUCCUGCUUACUUUCACAUUUUUCUUAAACCUUCCCUUCUCUCUCCUCUGAUAGAUGCCAUUCUGAUACGGGCUCUUACAAUGCCAUACCUAGAUGAAUGCAAUAACUUUCUAGUUGGUUCCCUGUAUCAAUCUCCACUCAGCUACCAAAGUGAUCUUCCCAAAGUUUCCUAAGCCUGACCAUGUUAUUCUCCUUCUCAAUAAACUACCAUGGCUCCCUAUUACA